GCCAAGCAGGCUCAGUCACUAGGGCACGUGACUUCUGAUCUCAGGGUCAUGAGUUCGAGCCCCAUGUUGGGCA
rnacentral:tRNA from 1 species